ACGCACGCUGGCGGCAGGCCUCACCCCUGCCAGUCGAGCGAGGACUUCGGUUCUAGCGGCGGACGGGUGAGUAACGCGUGGGAAUGUGCCCUUCUCUACGGAAUAGCCCUGGGAAACUGGGAGUAAUACCGUAUACGCCCUAUUGGGGAAAGAUUUAUCGGAGAAGGAUCAGCCCGCGUUGGAUUAGGUAGUUGGUGGGGUAAUGGCCUACCAAGCCGACGAUCCAUAGCUGGUUUGAGAGGAUGAUCAGCCACACUGGGACUGAGACACGGCCCAGACUCCUACGGGAGGCAGCAGUGGGGAAUCUUAGACAAUGGGGGCAACCCUGAUCUAGCCAUGCCGCGUGAGUGAUGAAGGCCUUAGGGUUGUAAAGCUCUUUCAGCUGGGAAGAUAAUGACGGUACCAGCAGAAGAAGCCCCGGCUAACUCCGUG
rnacentral:rRNA from 1 species